AAUAGAUACCCGGUAGUCCACGCCGUAAACGAUGAGUGCUAAGUGUUAGAGGGUUUCCGCCCUUUAGUGCUGAAGUUAACGCAUUAAGCACUCCGCCUGGGGAGUACGGCCGCAAGGCUGAAACUCAAAGGAAUUGACGGGGGCCCGCACAAGCGGUGGAGCAUGUGGUUUAAUUCGAAGCAACGCGAAGAACCUUACCAGGUCUUGACAUCCUCUGACAACCCUAGAGAUAGGGCUUCUCCUUCGGGAGCAGAGUGACAGGUGGUGCAUGGUUGUCGUCAGCUCGUGUCGUGAGAUGUUGGGUUAAGUCCCGCAACGAGCGCAACCCUUGAUCUUAGUUGCCAUCAUUAAGUUGGGCACUCUGAGGUGACUGCCGGUGACAAACCGGAGGAAGGUGGGGAUGACGUCAAAUCAUCAUGCCCCUUAUGACCUGGGCUACACACGUGCUACAAUGGACGGUACAAAGAGCUGCAAGACCGCGAGGUGGAGCUAAUCUCAUAAAACCGUUCUCAGUUCGGA
rnacentral:rRNA from 1 species